rnacentral:lncRNA from 1 species
UGUGAAGCUAUAUUUGGACCCGACGAUGUUCGUCACUUUAGACAGACAGGUUUCUGAUUAAACAAGUAUUUUACGCAUUCAGUCAACAAAACACACGUAUAGGAAACAAUAAUGAAUUUGUGCUGACUAUAUCAGAAAUACACAGAUACAAGGAAAAAAGUGGUGAAAAAAUAUAGGUACAGGGGCAUCAAUACUGGAUAAUGCCAUCUACGUUCAGAAAAACACAACAAAGGUAAAUAGAAAACAAUGUUGGAUAACACUCUUUGCACAAAAAGAAGCAAGAUGUGUAUCAUCAUUUACUAAGAAGUGUUGUUUUGGUUCUGAAUUGAGGAUGCGUUGGUUCUUAAUGAUGACAUUAACGUG